GCGUUUGUAGCUCAGCUGGAUAGAGCACUGCCCUCCGACGGCAGGUGUCGGCGGUUCGAAUCCGUUCAAGCGCGCCA
rnacentral:tRNA from 1 species